rnacentral:lncRNA from 1 species
GGACUCUGACCAGCCUGAGCGACGUGGAUCCUGAGAGCGCUUCUGGGUAGGCAUUUGCCCCAGUGGGAUGCCUCACCAGAGCAGUGUGUGGAAGGCCCCCAUGGAGUCUCAACACGGUGGCUGAACACCGGGAAGGAACUGGUAUUUGGAGUCCGGACAUCUGAAACUUGGUGCCCUGGUAGAUUCCUGAGAAAAGGAACAGGAGGAUGAGAGGUUCAAUGUUUUACACAUUGCUGGUCUGAUAGCUCAGCUUCAUUCACAGGGUUUGUGAGGCAAACAUGUUCCAAAGAAGGCCAGAAAAAGCCCAGCCAGGUUGAAUUCUGUGGAAAAUUCACCGAAAAGAUACAAUGCAUUUGAAACAAAACAAAACAAAACCAAAAAACACCUGCAGAAGUCCACUUGAAAAACCUGGGCUUAUUCACUCUCUGUGCCUCCCAUAUUCUAGAAGAUGUCUGCACAUAGAAUGUACAGAAAAAUGUCUGUCUUUGCCCAUGAUGGGAGAGGAAAGGCCAUUGUGUCUCUUGUUAGCAGAUCAAGAUUGGCAUUAGAGCUCAUCGAGGAGAACUGUGUCUUGACCAGCAUCCUUGAUCACUGAGGACACUGGUGGUCCUAUGUUGGUGAGGUGCCAGCUUUUCACACUCAGUCUUUUUCUAAUGCAGUCACUCCAGAGCCAUUUCUUAGCCAAUGAUCUCUGUCCUGUUGUCUCACAUAAAGUGAGCAGCCCCAUCUCUGUUACAUGAAAGACACUGAAGGAAUUAAAUCAGCUUGUCCAGCAGCAAGCUUCAGAGCCAAAUAUAAGCACACCUCAUAAUUCAGAG